AACGUAGGUGGCGAGCGUUAUCCGGAUUUACUGGGCGUAAAGGGUGUGCAGGCGGGCUGUUAAGUGGUAUAUGAAAUAUCCCGGCUCAACCGGGAGAGGUUAUGCCAGACUGGCAGUCUAGAGAGCGAGAGAGGGACGUGGAAUUCCGGGUGUAGUGGUGAAAUGCGUAGAGAUCCGGAGGAACCCCAGAGGCGAAGGCGGCGUCCUGGCUCGCAUCUGACGCUCAGACACGACAGCAUGGGGAGCGAACGGG
rnacentral:rRNA from 1 species